GCCCAGACCUACAGCUAAGGUCCCAAAGUGCGUGUUAAGUGGAAAAGGAUGUGGGGAUUCUAAGACAACUAGGACGUUGGCUUAGAAGCAGCCAUUCAUUGAAAGAGUGCGUAAUAGCUCACUAGUCGAGAGUCCCUGCGCCGAAAAUGUCCGGGGCUGAAACACGACACCGAAGCUUAGGAAUGUGUAAACAUUGGUAGAGGAGCAUUGCUAGCGGGAUGAAGCCAUACCGAAAGGAGUGGUGGACUGCUAGGAAGAGAGAAUGCCGGAAUGAGUAGCGAGAUGAAGGUGAGAAUCCUUCAGGCCGAAUAUCUAAGGUUUCCAGAGUAAAGCUGAUCUGCUCUGGGUAAGUCGGGACCUAAGGCGAGGUCGAAAGACGUAGUCGAUGGAUAACAGGUUGAAAUUCCUGUACCGCAUAUAAACAGAACUGUGGGGACACAGACAGGGAAUGGAAUCCGGGAGUGGAAAUCCCGGUGCAAGCGAGGUAGGAGUGCUGUUGGCAAAUCCGCAGCACGAUCUGAAGACGUGACGCGUACCGAACAUAAGUAGGGAAGUCCAGGCCCCUGGCUGUCAAGAAAAGCCGCUAUUGUUUUAUAUGUGCCCGUACCGCAAACCGACACAGGUGGAUGAGGAGAGAAUCCUAAGGCCGACGGGAGAAGUAUUGUUAAGGAACUCGGCAAAAUGACUCCGUAACUUCGGGAGAAGGAGUGCCAUGAGAGUGGCCGCAGAGAAAUGGCCCAAGCAACUGUUUAGCAAAAACACAGGUCUAUGCAAAACCGCAAGGUGAAGUAUAUGGGCUGACGCCUGCCCGGUGCUGGAAGGUUAAGGGGAGAGGUUAGCGCAAGCGAAGCUUUGAACUUAAGCCCCAGUAAACGGCGGCCGUAACUAUAACGGUCCUAAGGUAGCGAAAUUCCUUGUCGGGUAAGUUCCGACCCGCACGAAAGGCGUAAUGAUUUGGGCACUGUCUCAACGAUACACCCGGUGAAAUUGAAAUACCAGUGAAGAUGCUGGUUACCUGCGCCAGGACGGAAAGACCCCAUGGAGCUUUACUCCAGUUUGAUACUGGGAUUCGGCAUGGUAUGUACAGGAUAGGUGGGAGACUGAGAAGGUAUGACGUCAGUUGUACCGGAGUCGCUGUUGGGAUACCACCCUUACCAUGUUGGAUUUCUAACCUGUGGCCGUGAACCGGUCAGGGGACAAUGUCAGGCGGGGAGUUUGACUGGGGCGGUCGCCUCCGAAAGGGUAUC
rnacentral:rRNA from 1 species